CAAAAAUAUCCUUGGGGAGGGGGGAGGGGUUAUAAUUCUAAAGUUCAUUUUUUUGCACAGAAUUAUGUUAUCUAUACCUAUUUAGGCAAUGAGUCACCAUCAGUUUGUUUAAAGCUUCCAAAAACCCAUAUGGACGGAGCCGAAGAAGGCAUCGGGAUUGAAAAUCGCCGAAAAUAUCAACAGAAAUUUCAUAUCUUGAGAACCGUUGCACGCAGAGACUUGAAAUUUGGCUCAAAAUGUUCCUUGACCCCAAGUUUAUAUACAACUUCUAUAGUAACAAUAAGUCUAUCUGGUGAUUUUUUUCAGGAGUAACUGAGAAAAAAC